UUGCAUGUCAGGCUGCUGCCAUGACACAAGGGUGGAUAUCUACUGUGGCCUCACUGCCACUGCGGGCAAGUAGCUGUUCCUUGUGCACUUCUCAGUGUCACCGAAUAUGAAUCUUUCAGUACUAAUUAAGAGGAACAAACUUUAAGAAGCAUCAUCUACACUAAAUAUUUUCUUCCAAAUGUUAUUAUCCAAUACUUGCCUAUCAUUUUCAAUCUUAAACUAAUUAAGCAUUGCGAUUAUACAGAUGCCCACAAGUGCCAGGCCAAAGCUUGAAACCCGGAACUCAAUACAAAUCUCUAAUGUGGAUGGCAGGGAUGCAACUACUGAGCCAUCAUCUGCUACCUGCAAGGAAGUGCAUUAGUGGGAAGCUGAAAUGAAGAGUGUAGCCUGGACUCGAGCUCAGGGACUCCAAUAUGGGAGUGGAGCAUUAAGGCUUUGACAAUAAUGUAAAUUAAAAAAUACUAUCUCAAACGAUGAAAGAGAGAAAGAAAAAAAAAGAAAGAAAGAAAAUUAAAGAAGUAAAGAAAGGAAGAAAAAGAGAAAGAAAGAAGGAAAAGUUGAAGAACAGAGCUGUAUCUAUUGUCCUUUCAUCACACUUAACAACAGAGAUGUAUUCAAGUUACUUUGUUUGGCAGGAAAUGAGCUCACUUUUCCCUCUGCUGAAGAAAGCAAUUUGUGAAUCAUAUCCAGUUUGAGAAAAGAAUCACCUUAUUUCAAAAGAUAAAUCAUGUGAUAUUGUUAUGCUGAAUGAAUAAAAAGCAUGGAUUGAGAAUAGAUUAGAUGAAUGCAUUAUAAAGACAUCAAAGUAAACUGAUCUGAUGAUGGUACUGUGAAAGGACUGAAAUUUAAAGAUAUUUCAUUGCUAUCAAAGACCAUGGGAAACUAAUGAACAAAUGCUGAUUUCCUAUUACAGACUUUCUUGAAAUCCGAGAUUUAACAUGGGACUUAUUUUAGAAAGACUUAUCUUUUAUUACCUUUAUUGUAUAUGGAUAAUGUUACCAGCUAAAUGAUUUUUACUAGUAAGAUUUGUCUUAAAAACUCACCAUACCCAUUUAGAGAUUAAAUAAAAUGUAUUCCACUUUUAAUACAUAAGCAUUAUAUUACUUUGCUGGUGAAUCCAAGUAAUUCAAACUGGAUGGUUUAGAAUAAAAGAAAUUUAUUGUCUAACUGUUCUGAAAGUCAAGAA